rnacentral:rRNA from 1 species
UACGGGGGGGGCAAGCGUUGUCCGGAAUCAUUGGGCGUAAAGAGCGUGUAGGCGGCCCGGUAAGUCCGCCGUGAAAGUCCAGGGCUCAACCCUGGAAUGCCGGUGGAAACUGCCGGGCUGGAGUCCGGAAGAGGCGAGUGGAAUUCCCGGUGUAGCGGUGAAAUGCGCAGAUAUCAGGAGGAACACCGGUGGCGAAGGCGGGUCUCUGGGCCGUAACUGACGCUGAGGAGCGAAAGCGUGGGGAGCGAACAGG